GCCCCGCCGUAAACUUAGAUAUAUUAGUACAACAAAUAUCCGCCCGGGAACUACGAGCGCCAGCUUAAAACCCAAAGGACUUGGCGGUGCUUCAGACCCCCCUAGAGGAGCCUGUUCUAGAACCGAUAACCCCCGUUCAACCUCACCACUCCUUGCCCCUCCCGCCUAUAUACCACCGUCGCCAGCUUACCCUGUGAAGGUACUACAGUAAGCAGAAUGAGCAUUCCUCAGAACGUCAGGUCGAGGUGUAGCGUACGGAGUGGGAUAGAAAUGGGCUACAUUAUCUGAAACAGAUUAUUUACGAAAGGCCGCCUGAAAUCAAGCACCCGAAGGUGGAUUUAGCAGUAAAAAGGGAAUAGAGUGCCCUUUUGAAGUUGGCUCUGAAGCGCGCACAUACCGCCCGUCACUCUCCCCAGCGACCACCCAAAAAAGGUAAAUAACGCAAUAAUAACAGCAAGGGGAGGCAAGUCGUAACAUGGUAAGUAUACCGGAAGGUGUACUUGGAAUAAU
rnacentral:rRNA from 2 species